UACGUAGGGGGCAAGCGUUGUCCGGAUUUAUUGGGCGUAAAGAGCUCGUAGGUGGUUCGGUAAGUCGGAUGUGAAAUCUCCAGGCUCAACCUGGAGGGGUCAUUCGAUACUGCCGUGACUAGAGGUCGGUAGGGGAGUGUGGAAUUCCUGGUGGAGCGGUGAAAUGCGCAGAUAUCAGGAAGAACACCCGUGGCUAAGGCGGCUCUCUAGUACGGUACUGACGCUGAGACGCGAAAGCGUGGGGAGCGAACAGG
rnacentral:rRNA from 1 species